ACACACACACACACACUCACUCACACACACACACACACACAGACACACACACAUACACAUACAGCUCUCUGGUGGAUGUGGUUGGCAUGGCAACUUUUUGGAUGACCAUAUUUGGCACUAAAAUCUUUUCACAGUUUGGAAAUUUGGAAUCAGUUUGCUAAAGAAAGGAAAGGGGGAGGAGUUAGGAAAGAAAGGAAGAUAGAAAAUAAGAGAGCGAGUAUUUACGGAACGAGAAGAAAGAAGGAAGGAUAGAGGGGAGGAGCGAGGAAGAGAAGAGAUGUUAGUAGAAGAUGGAAGGAAAGGAAACAAAAAGGAGAAACAGCUUCCUGUUGGACGACGCGUCGACAAACAUUUAACAACAGGAAACUCAACACAACCUGUGUGUGUGUGUGUGUGUACAGAUGCUGAUCACUCUGACAUUUCCUCUCCUGUCGUAUGAAACCGUCUCUUCUCGUCAACAUCAGUGUGAAAUGUCAGAAAUGCAGUUUGUUCAAAUGUCAAACAUCCUUUCAAACGUCAGGUGAACAAUUAACUACAACAGCUGCGACACACAAACACUGAAACACAUUAACACACAAACACACAAACACAUAAACACAUAAACAUGAAAUCUGAUGAAUAAAAUACGAGCGAUGUAUAAAACUUAAA